UACACCGCCUGCUCUGGAAUACUCCACCCUCAGUCUCCAACACACACACACACACACUACAAUUUCCCAGUGAGGUAAAUCCCCCAGCAUUCCCCCCAUAUGCGCUGUCACAGCCCUCCCACUCUUCCAACUUGUGUGUGUGUGUGUGUGUCACCACUCUUCUCUGACAUUCCUGCGUUGAGCGAAGAGGCAGCGAGCUCGGCUGCAGAGAGACAGAACUACAAAUGCAACUCACAACUUCUUUGGGGAAAGUUCUACUUUUCUCAGAAGAAGAAGAAGAAAAAUAGUCCUUUUUCUUAAAGUUGCAACUCGUCCCGUUGGCUUUUCUGACUAGGGAAUUCAAAAUUUGGGACGCCUGCCUGCAGAUGCAGCUGGGAAGUUUUGUAUCAAGGGAUUUCUAGAGAAGCAUCCUAUCCAGUCCCAGUUUCCUCCUGUUCUUCUCCUCUCCAUCGCCCUCCCUUACUCCAAACUUCAGACUGCGGACUGUUGGGGAAUACCUUUGGAGAGGCAAAAACAGAACAAGGGCAUAGUGCUGCAGCAGCGUACAAAGAGACCCUGGCUCCUGUAAAGAUGGCUGACGUGGCGCAGCCGGACCCCGGCAGCCUGCAGAUACCUGGUGAUAAUUUAUCAGCCCCUUCAUCGCCUGCCACAGCUAGAAAUGACUGCAGCAUCGCACCCCUCACACCCUCACCCUCACCGGUAACUAUGCACACACACACACAAACACACAUUCACCCAGUGGUGUACAGUAACGAAGUAGAAAUACUUCGUUACUGUA